rnacentral:lncRNA from 1 species
CUUCUUGUUCAUUGCACAAAUCCCAACCCUGUCGAUUUUCUCAACAAAUUUGACAUCUUCCUGCAUCUCGAUCGUCCUGGAUAUUGAAAUUUGCCAUCGUGUCCGCACUUCCCAAAACAAUGCUCAGUUCAACGAUACGUUACAAGAACUGUCCAGAACUUCAGUUGACAUAUAAUGACCUGCGAACUGCCUAUUCUUCAAGGAAACGAUAGAAAUUGUGACAAUAUAAAUGUUGGCUUGUAAUUUGUCGCCAUUUUGUUGGAUCAUUU